rnacentral:rRNA from 1 species
CCUACGGGUGGCAGCAGUGGGGAAUAUUGGACAAUGGGCGAAAGCCUGAUCCAGCCAUGCCGCGUGUGUGAAGAAGGCCUUCGGGUUGUAAAGCACUUUCAGUGGGGAAGAAAGCCUUGGGGCUAAUACCCUCGAGGAAGGACAUCACCCACAGAAGAAGCACCGGCUAACUCCGUGCCAGCAGCCGCGGUAAUACGGAGGGUGCGAGCGUUAAUCGGAAUUACUGGGCGUAAAGCGCGCGUAGGCGGUCUGAUAAGCCGGUUGUGAAAGCCCCGGGCUCAACCUGGGAACGGCAUCCGGAACUGUCAGGCUAGAGUGCAGGAGAGGAAGGUAGAAUUCCCGGUGUAGCGGUGAAAUGCGUAGAGAUCGGGAGGAAUAACAGUGGCGAAGGCGGCCUUCUGGACUGACACUGACGCUGAGGUGCGAAAGCGUGGGUAGCAAACAGGAUUAGCUACCCCGGUAGUC